CGGCAAUUGCGGGGUGCUAUACAUGCAGUCGAGCGGAUUGAUGGGAGCUUGCUCCCUGAUAUCAGCGGCGGACGGGUGAGUAACACGUGGGUAACCUGCCUGUAAGACUGGGAUAACUCCGGGAAACCGGGGCUAAUACCGGAUAACUCAUUUCCUCGCAUGAGGAAAUGUUGAAAGGUGGCUUUUACCUACCACUUACAGAUGGACCCGCGGCGCAUUACCUAGUUGGUGAGGUAACGGCUCACCAAGGCAACAAUGCGUACCCAACCUGAAAGGGUGAUCGGCCACACUGGGACUGAAACACGGCCCAAACUCCUACGGGAGGCAGCAGUAGGGAAUCUUCCGCAAUGGACAAAAGUCUGACGGAGCAACGCCGCGUGAGUGAUGAAGGUUUUCGGAUCGUAAAGCUCUGUUGUUAGGGAAAAACAAGUGCCGUUCGAAUAGGGCGGCACCUUGACGGUACCUAACCAAAAAGCCACGGCUAACUACGUGCCACCAGCCGCGGUAAUACGUAGGUGGCAAGCGUUGUCCGGAAUUAUUGGGCGUAAAGCGCGCGCAGGUGGUUCCUUAAGUCUGAUGUGAAAGCCCACGGCUCAACCGUGGAGGGUCAUUGGAAACUGGGGAACUUGAGUGCAAAAAAGGAAAGUGGAAUUCCAAGUGUAGCGGUGAAAUGCGUAAAUAUUUGGAGGAACACCAGUGGCGAAGGCGACUUUCUGGUCUGUAACUGACACUGAGGCGCGAAAGCGUGGGGAGCAAACAGGAUAUACCCCCCGGGAAA
rnacentral:rRNA from 1 species